UAAUUUUAUCUACCACUGUUUUAACACUUAAAAUUAUCCUUUUGUAGGUUAUCCAUCACCUGGUGGACCUAAUCUAUUCCAGGGAUCUACAUAUCCAACUUACAAUCAACGGACACAGUUUUCAAUGGCGCAGAGUCUCCUAUCGCAGACACUGACAGCAACAGAUUCCCAUUUUUCAGCUGGUAAUCAGCCAUUAGGACAACACACCAUGCCAAUGCAAACGAAUUCCGCAUCAAAAGUGUGACCAGAGUGAAAAAUGUUUCUAUUCGUCCUUGUUCCUGUUUAUAUUUUCGUUUUUUGUCGGGAAGGUGCAUUUUCACCUUCAAGUGAUUUUUCUUGGAGGCAUUUCAGUGUACUAUAUACAAACCUUAUCCUCGGAUGCUGAUUGUGAGAUUGGAGGAUGAGCUGAAGACAGUUCCUUCUUUUCUACCUGCGCACAUAAUGUUGUCAUCCGAAAAGUGCAGCCAGAGUUUCUUCGACAACAAUUUAAAUAUUCUACAAAUUUUAAACUGUAUUUUUCAGUUUUGGGAAGUUUAGUGAAAUUAUUCAAUGGGUGUCUUUCCAAGUUGGAGUUGUGGAGAUGGUCUCAAAUCGCUUCAACCAAGGCUGAGCUAGAUCAGUUUAAAGUUUUGUCUUUCCGGUAACUGGAAAGCUUGAGUUUAAACAGUUCGAGGCCACCUCAAACAGAUUCAAUUUGAUAACCCACCUGACGUAUUACAAUAAUGAAAUUUUACAGCCUUGUACGAUUUUAUUAAACUGUUUUUUUUCCUUUCCAGUUUUGAAAAUGGUGACAUAUUUUACAAAUUUAAAAUGAAUUAGAUUCCAAUUGAGUAAUUUUUAAUUCAAAAUAGGUUGUUUAAUUCAGGUGUAUGUGUUUUAAAAUAGAAUACUACAUGCUCAGUUUGGAAGCCUCCCCCACAAAACAUCAUUCAGAAAAAAUUAUAUGCUUGAUCAUACAGUUGAAAAUUAUAAAAUAACUAUAUACACAAUUUUAUUCACUAUAAUUUUAACGUAACGGAAUUGCUUGCGCUUUUAAAAUAAUAAUUGCAAAGAAUAAAUAAAUAUAUAAAUAUAUCAAACAAAUAAAGUGAAACAUUUUCAUCUUGAUUUUCUUUUUCAUAAGUUUUUUUUACAUUUUUUUUGUAUUGAUAUUUUCAUAGAAUUUUAGUUUUUAUGUUUAUUUUUCUGCGAAUUUUUAAUAAGAUUAUAACAAUGCUUGGAUAUUUUCCUCACUUUUUGAUAGCUAUUGUUAUAGAAAAUACUUAAAUCAGCAUUACAAAAAUAACUGCAUACUUAAAUUGUAAUAAUUUCUUCAAUUUUUUUCACCAAAAUUUGUUUUAGUAAUGAAAAAAAUUAUUUUAAAAGUGAACAAAAUACUUUGUAACUUCUAAAUCAUGUUUGAAACAUUCCAUUAUUUUUUUUUUACUCAUUUACUUUUCAUAAAAAAAAGUAACUGUAAACCGCAUAAACUCUCUGCACUUUUUUUACUCAUUGAAACCGUUAACAUAUAACAACGGAUACAUCAUCAUUAGUCAAUUUUAUAAAAGCUGUGAAUCACGAUAUUUUAAAACAAUCUUAAGAUCUUUAUUGAUGGCUGCUGUAUGAGAUUGACGCAGUCCCCGAGAUUCUCUAUUUAUAUCAUAAAAACAGAGAAAUAAUUAAGAUCAUAAACACAGCUUUUUUUCUUCAUUUAAUCUAAUUCUUAUUUAUAAUCAAUGUGGACUGAUUUCAAUAAAAAAAUGACAUUAAUGUUUGAUUGUACAUGUUCUUUUUUUUUAUUUAUUAAUUUUCACAUUCAUUAAUUUUCAUUUUUUCAUCAUUCAUUUCAUGCGUGAAGAUGAUUUUUCUUAUAGAAAAAGUCAAAUUCUAACGUUAUAACUCACAAAUAUUAUAUUAAAAUAGUUAAAAAUAACAUACAAGUUUGGAUGCCACAUUCUUCAAUGUAAAAUAAAUAGAGCAAAAUGGCGAAAAACAUUAUAAAUGAAUGGUAUGAAAUAAAUUAAACGUAAAACUAAAUUAGCCAUAAAAUUAAAAGUUUGAAAAAUCAUGAAGUCCAAUUUAAUUCAUCUUCUAUUAUUAAAAAAAAAAUAAAAAAUAAAUUCGAAGGUUUAGAUUUUUAGGAGAUCUAUCAUAUCAUCAAAACCAAUGCAUCUUCAAUCAAUGUCUCUUCUAAACCAUUUUUUCAGGUAUAAGGAAGCCUUUUAUGUUUUCAAUUUCACUACUCAACUGUAGAUCCCAAUACUUUCGUAAAAAUUGUCAUUUUUCGUUAGGAUUAUUUUGCUCUUUUUCUACUUCUGUUUAAUUGGUUUUCGUUCGUUUAGCAGAUGAAAUCACUGGUGCAUUUCGAUGUUUAAAAACUGCUAUUUUCAUAAUGGCUUAGUCCAAAUGCAGCUUCAUAUUAAAUUUUUUUCAAACACUAAUAUUUAUAGUUUUCGCCGCCAUUUUUUUUCUUUCUUUUGUAUUUUACUGUGAAUUGUAGAGGAUGAUUCAUCGAAACUUAUGUACUAUUUUCAACUGUUUUGAUAUAAUAUUUGUAACUUUAAACGUUUCUUUCAUUUGAUUUUUAAAAAUUAAAAUUAUCACAGUUUUUUUAAAUUUGUUUUGA